UACGUAGGGCGCAAGCGUUGUCCGGAAUUAUUGGGCGUAAAGAGCUCGUAGGCGGUCUGUUACGUCUGCUGUGAAAACCCGGGGCUUAACCCUGGGCUUGCAGUGGAUACGGGCAGACUAGAGGCAGGUAGGGGAGAAUGGAAUUCCCGGUGUAGCGGUGAAAUGCGCAGAUAUCGGGAGGAACACCGGUGGCGAAGGCGGCUUCCUGGACCGACACUGACGCUGAGGCGCGAAAGCUAGGGGAGCAAACAGG
rnacentral:rRNA from 1 species